GAAAUACAAUCAUACAUUCAAAAAACAACAAAUACAGUAUAAUUUCUCAGCAUUUAACAAGAAAAAGAGAAGAAAUACUAAGGUGAUCGCCAGACACUUCCCCUAAGCUUCACUAAAAGAACCAGAAUUUAGAAAAAGUUGAGGCCGCGCCCUGUUCUGUUUGAUAAUUUAAUAAUAAAAUGAAUGUAAAAGGGUAGAAAGCAUAAUAACAUACUAUGCCAGUAUGCUAGCAAUACGAAAGGGAAAAUAAGUGAUUCUUAAGUCUGGA